UCUUUGCUAGUAUAUCGGUUAGUACACGCGCCUGUCAUUCCUCAUGGGGCUCAUCCGCGCGAAAGCUGGGUUCGACUCCCAGGCAAAGAG